UCCAGCAUGAGCCGGUGCUCGACUCCCAUGAUGCCAAUGUAUCACGGCUUCGCCAAUGUCAUGCUACACCAUGCCAGCAUGACACAGCGUAGCCGCGAUGCAGAAGCUAGGAUGUCGGGCUGAGAUCAUACGGCCUUGAACUUGCUCUGGACAAUGCCAGCGAAAGGAUCAUGCUUUUCCCUUCU
rnacentral:ncRNA from 1 species